rnacentral:rRNA from 1 species
AUGCGUGAAAAAAAGUAUGUCGGCCCGGGGAGCUUCCGGAAAGGUGGCCGGAAGCUUCAAAAGCGAGCGAGCGAGGGGGCGCGUGGGAAAGCAAUUGCAAGCAGCCGCGGCGAAAGCGACGGUGCCGCCGCCCGGAGAAAGAACCCCGUCCACGUCGUGCCGUCGGCGUACGCACGUCCGUGUACUGUCCGGCUUUGCCCCGGUCCUCUGGCGUGUGAGCUUCGCGCCCAAUUUCCCCGUCGACUUCCGCUGCCACGGCGGCAGGCGGUGUUGGUUGAUUCGGUACCACGUCGGCGCGGCAGAUGUGGCCCGGCCGGCGCCGACGGGGGCUCGAUCGGGAGAUCGAAUCGGAGAGGCCCCGUGCAGUGCAGCUGCAGCAGCCGGGAAAUUCAUUUCUCGUACCACUACCUGCGCCUGGUUCGAUGA